UACGUAGGGUGCGGGCGUUAAUCGGAAUUACUGGGCGUAAAGCGUGCGCAGGCGGUUUUGCAAGCCGGAUGUGAAAUCCCCGGGCUUAACCUGGGAAUGGCAUUUGGGACUGCAAGGCUGGAGUGCGGCAGAGGAGACUGGAAUUCCUGGUGUAGCAGUGAAAUGCGUAGAUAUCAGGAAGAACACCCGUGGCGAAGGCGGCUCUCUGGGACGGUACUGACGCUGAGACGCGAAAGCGUGGGGAGCGAACAGG
rnacentral:rRNA from 1 species